CGGACGGGUGAGUAAAGCAUAGGAAUCUACCCAGUAGUGGGGGAUAACGUGGAGAAAUUCACGCUAAUACCGCAUAUGUCCUACGGGACAAAGCAGGGGACCUUCGGGCCUUGCGCUAUUGGAUGAGCCUAUGUCGGAUUAGCUAGUUGGUAGGGUAAAAGCCUACCAAGGCGACGAUCCGUAGCUGGUCUGAGAGGAUGAUCAGCCACACUGGAACUGAGACACGGUCCAG
rnacentral:rRNA from 1 species